AUGGCCUCCGGAACCUCGGCAGGUCGCGAGCCGUACGACGAGGAGGCCGCGAGCCGCCGCCCGCUCGAGCUCGGCAUCCGCGACUCCGCCCCCGCUUCCGCCUCCGACCACCGGUCUGGAAAUAUUGUGCCUAGAUAUCAGGUGGGAUGUACUAAAGCUGAUACAAGUAAGAGAUACUUGGAGGGAUGGCAUAAGAAGCAAUCUAGUACAGAUGAUGUACGGAAGAGCAAGUCAGGAUACUUCACGGCAUUCGGGGUGGACCUAUCUCCUGAUAAUAUGGCAGUUGCCAUUGUAUAUUUUGUGCAAGGGGUCUUAGGCCUUGCACGACUUGCUGUGAGCUUUUACUUAAAAGACGAUCUUCACCUUGAUCCAGCUGAGACUGCAGUUAUAUCUGGCUUCUCAUCCUUGCCCUGGUUGAUCAAGCCAAUCUAUGGCUUUAUCAGUGAUUCUAUUCCACUAUAUGGGUAUCGAAGAAGAUCAUAUCUUAUUCUGUCAGGAUUUCUUGGAACACUUUCAUGGAGUUUGAUGGCUACAGUAGUGAACAGUAAAUAUGGUGCAGGAUUCUCUAUUCUUCUUGGAUCACUUUCUGUUGCCUUCUCAGAUGUUGUCGUAGAUUCUAUGGUAGUUGAGAGAGCUCGUGGCGAAUCACAAAGUACAUCUGGAUCUCUCCAGUCUCUAUGUUGGGGGUCCUCGGCAUUUGGUGGAAUUGUGAGCGCAUAUUUCAGUGGUUCGCUUGUGGAUGCAUAUGGAGUAAGAUUUGUCUUUGGUAUUACGGCAUUUUUACCAUUGAUGACAUCUGCUGUUGCAGUUCUUGUAAAUGAACAUCGCCUGACUCCUGGAGAACAUGCUAUGUCAGUCUCUGGUUCAGGAUUCAUUGAGAGCUCAAUACAGCACAUCAAGCAGCUAUGGACUUCUGUAAAGCAACCUAACAUUUUCUUGCCGACCUUGUUUAUAUUCCUCUGGCAAGCAACACCACACUCAGAGUCAGCCAUGUUUUUCUUCAUCACAAAUAAGCUUGGAUUCACUCCAGAGUUUCUAGGACGUGUAAAACUCGUUACUUCCAUUGCAUCCUUGCUCGGUGUUGGAAUUUAUAACUACUUUCUGAAGGCAGUUCAUCUGAGGAAAAUAUUUCUUGUGACAACCAUCAUAGGUUCAGCCCUUGGAAUGACACAGGUUCUUCUUGUCACUGGGCUUAAUAGGCAGUUUGGGAUCAGUGAUGAGUGGUUCUCCAUUGGAGAUUCGUUAAUCAUCACGGUCCUUGGCCAGGCUGCAUUUAUGCCAGUUUUGGUGUUAGCUGCAAAAUUGUGCCCUCCAGGAAUGGAGGCGACUUUGUUUGCCACUUUGAUGUCCAUUUCUAAUGCUGGAAGUGUUACUGGUGGUCUUGUCGGUGCUGGUCUAACAAAGAUUUUUGGAGUCACUAGGGAAAGCUUCGGAAAUCUACCUCUGUUGAUUAUUGUAUGCAAUCUCAGUUCCUUGCUGCCCUUGCCUCUUCUAGGUCUCCUUCCAGACGAAACAGGAGAUUCAGAUAAUGAAGAAACAAAACACAGCUGA
rnacentral:rRNA from 1 species